rnacentral:sRNA from 1 species
AGCGCGACCGGAUCCACCGCCCGGGUGACGGUGAGGUAGUCCCGGAUGGCGGUGCCGUGCCGGCCCUC